GAGAGUUUCAGUGUGCGAGAGAGGAAGUAGAGAUCUGUUGAAACUAGAGAACGGACGAUUAGUUUUCUAAAGGGGGAAUUUCCCAAGGAUCCAAGGCUUGAAGUCUCUGAAACUUAAGCAGUUUCGGCUCUGUGGUGGGGGUGGAUCUUUACUCCAGCUACAGAAGCGAGGCAAGAACCCGAGCAAGUGAUCCAGCUCAGGACUACAUUUCCCAGAAGACAUCACAGACCGCGUUCUCGCUCCUGUAAAAGGAAGGGCAGUGGAAGGGCAUCCUGAGACAUGGGAGCUGAGGAACCUCAUAGCUCUGAGAGGAAGCCUCCUCAGCAGAAGAGUUGCAGCUCCCAGGGGAGGGUGUCCCCACCUGAGCUGAGGACCAGGAGCCUCAGCCCUGUAGGGAUAUUGGGGCCCCGCAUCUGCUCCACCACAGGGCUCAGCCACUCAGGGAGGCAGGACGCAGGAAGUUGACCAUGUUUAUUUACCGUGUUUAUUUAUACCAUCACCAGACAGGCCCGGGACAUGGCUCCAGGGGUGGGGAAGUGCAGUCUGAGGCACCGAUGGUUCUCAGGUUCUCGGACAUCCAGGUGCUGCUGGGAGACGCAGAAGACCUGAGAAUGGAGCGAGGCCCUGCAGGCUAGACCUAGCCUGGGACAGGUGUGUGUGUGUGUGUGUAGCUCCAGCUGGUCCCACAGGGAGAGAGUCCUUGACUUAGCAGCAGCAGUGGGGCUCGAGCUUGGCUUGGUGGCAACUGUGACUGGGAGUGCAGAGAGGCCUUCUAUGGGAGACUAGACUGUGGCUCCAUAGGUGAAAGCCCUCUCCAAGGCUUCCCACGGUGGAUCCCGAUGAAAAGAGGCAGUCCAUGGUUUUAAGGCAUUUAUUGUCAUGGUGAAAGUAGAUGAGUAAAACUGAAGUUAAAUACCAUUUGCAGGGAGGAGUGUCUGGGAAGGAAAGCUUAUUGGCUAAAGCCCUCCAGGCCUUUAAGUAACUCAUUAAAAUGGAGAUCUGUCUUGAGCCUACAUGACCACAGGUCAUGUCUUCUCCCUGUGGAGGGGCUUAGGGCAUUGCCUUUACAUGACUGGUGGACACAAAUCUAUGGGGAGCUUUGGCUAGUGACAGGGACCUGGUGCCGGGAGCAGGCGAAAUGCCUACCAUCCCUUCAAGGUCUCUGGAUUUUAAACCUUAGCUCAACUAGGGACCAAGCUGCCAUUCACGGUCCCACAUAGCCCCACUCCUUCCCUUUGCUUCUUUUGUUCUUUUUGUUGCUUCUUUUCUUCUUGCCUUCUUCCAAUGAAAGAGUCAAAACAGGCAGCAAAUCUCAUGAAAGAGAAUUUUUGGAGGGCCCAUGAUGCAGAGGAAGGAAUCUAGGAGUGGCUGCCUCUGCUUCCAGGAGUGAGCAACAGAGAAUUAAAGAGCGGGUCUUACUGAGGAUAUCUGAGGAGGCUUUUCAGGGCGGGGAUUUCCAGAUUGAGGAUUGGUGAAAUUUCAAGUCCUGAGCUUGAGGAAGUCAGAGAUUGGUGGGGUUUCCUGUUCAGGGAUUAGGGGCUCCCCCCCCAAUCCCCUUUCCCUGCAGGGCCCCAUGGGUUAGGGUGGAAAGUCUCACCUGGCUUUGGCUUUGGCUGAGGUGCCAUAUCUAUGGAUCUGCUCUGGGAGGCCGGAGAGGAGAGCCUGACUUUGUGGACAGCUCCUGCAGCGGUAUUUCAUCAGGGUUGUAGGCUGAGGCAGGAAAGACGGUAUCAUCACCACGGACAGCUCCUGGUGGGCGGGCAGCUCCUGUUGAGGUGGAAAGGAGAUGUGCCACUGCAGACAACUCCUGUGAAGGCUGCCAUUUUGACAGGAGCCACCAUUUUUGACAGCUCCGAGGUUGGGGUUGGGGUGGGGCAUCUCAUCUUGACCUUAGGAUAGAAUGGAAAGGAGGAGCCUUCCGCAGCUUUGAUAGCUUUUGAGGUGUGAUGCUUAGGGGCUACAGAAAGGCCUUUAAAAUGUGUGGAUACUUUACACAACACCAGAAAAUUCAUACUAGUAAAAAACGUUUCAAUUGUAAAGGAUUUGGGAAGGCUUUUAUUCCGCUUCCAUCUUUGCUCAACACCAGAGAAUCCACACUGAUAAGAAACCUCAUAUAAGUCAUUAGCAUGGGAGGUCCUACAGAUAUGGCUCACCCCUUAAUGUACAUCAAAGAAUUGGUGCGUCUGUGAAAAUCUAAGCAUAGAGGGAACACGAGGAAGCUUUGAAUGUGGCCCAAUUUUUUUCUUUCAUUUCAUGACUUCAUAGAAAUGCAACAAAAACUUCUGGUGAUGUUAUGGCGGCUUCUUGUUACUUCCUCAGACUCGGGCCGAUCGGCAGAGUGAUGUCAGACGAUACAGUGGAGUUUUGCUAAGACAGACUCAUGUGUUGUUUUGCUGAGGCAAGACACAUGGGUGGACAUGUGGUGUUUGGAGGUAGUAUAAAUAGGACUAGACAGACUGUGUGGAGCUUGCAUAGCUAGCUUGGCAACACUUUAUUGGUCUUGAGAUUUUGCUGAUCUUCACUUUGUUGAGAGCAGCAUGGCAGAGAACUUCUAGUGUCCCUGCUGGUCCUGGUGCAGAUUCAGCAGAGACCUGGCUGUCUCUGCUGUGUUGUGCCACCGCUGCUGAUUAGUGUUUGCUAUCCUGAUGCAACUGAACUGGACUGUUGGUAUAUAUCCUGUCAAUGCAGAUUGGAGUUGCUCCAAAGAACUAUUUAUAAACAGGUCCAUUUCCCCUGAAUCCAAAUAACUUUCCUUUUCUACUACCUAUGGUGGGUGGUGGGUUUUAAGACAGGUUAAAGAAUUUAAGAAACCUUAUUAAAAGUAGGCUUUUUUUUUUUUUUUUGAAAAAUGGAAUCCAGCAGGUGAUGCCCAACGUGACUUAGGCAUAAUGGGUAACUCUGCUUCUAAUGUAGAGGAAAUGGCAGGUUAUGAGGGGUUAGCAAUGUUGCUUAAGGAUAUUGGUGAAAUGGCAACUAGGUGGUCGCCUGCCUUGCUCCCAGAAGAGGAUUGUUUUUAUUUUGCUUCAUAUUUUUCAUGUAUACUAUUUUGAAAAACUUUAAGGAGAAACCUAACAAUUCUCUCCUGUUAGAGAAGAUUGCAGAGUUGACUAUGCACUUAGAGAGUUUGCUGACAGAGGUUGAAGUAUUUGGAAAACAAAGAGGACCCCUCCAAAAAAAAAAUGGAAGGAGAAAAACGUCAAGGCUUGGUGAACGAGAACAGGGAUUUACUGCAUGAUGAAAGCUGGAAGCAAACUAGGCUGGACGGUAAAUGGCUGCUGGGCCCUACUCCACGCACUCUUCCUGCCAAGCACCCAGAGCACCUCUGUGAAACUAGGGGCCAGGCAGAGUAGGGGAUUGGGAAAAUACAACUGGAUGGUGUUCAGCCAAGUGCAUCACCAGAGGAUUUGCUUGGACCUACACAGCUUCCUCAGCCUUCCCAGUCUUUGUACAACAUAUGUGUGCUAAUGAUGGUGGUUCUGCCUAUAAUGAAUUGACCUGGUAUCCGAUAGAAAUGCUAGAUCUCAAUUAUUUUAAAGAGGUUGUUAUAUGAUAUAGCUUACAUUCUCCUUUUGUUAAAUAACUGCUAAAUGCUAAGCACACAGCAUAGGGUUAUCCCACAAGAUUGGAAGCGAUUGGCGUCAGCUUUUCUAGAAGCUGGACAUCAAUUACAAUCGUUGUCAUGGUAGAGGCAAUGAAGCCACCACGAAAACAGAACAACAAAUAAAUGGGAUAAAUGUUACUAAAGAGCAGCUACUUGGUGAAGGGAGUUGUGCUGACCUACAACAAGAACAAAUCCAAUCUAAUGAUGGUUCAACUGAACAAUAUCAUGCUGCAGCUUUAAGAGCUUGGGAUAUAAUUGAGGAUCCUGGGGCCAGAGGGUAAGGAAUCUACUACAUUUACUAAAAUAAUACAGGGGUCUGGUGAAGCCUUUACAGAAUUCUUACAGAGGUUGGGUUCAGCUGUGAAGAGAGACAUAUUAGACCCUGAAACCAGACAGUCAUUGAUAGAAAUAUUGGCAUUUAAAAAUGCAAAUACCAAAUGCAUGAGGGCAAUCAGACUAUUGAAAGCUUGAAGAGCCCCAAUUGAAGUGGAAACUUAAGGGACCUUUGGAAAGUCAGUUGCAUCAGAUGGUGUUUUGGUAGGGUAAACACUUGAAGGAGUGUUUUCCUGAAGUGGACACAGGUGAAAGGAUGUUUUGCUAAAGCGAACACAUGAAAGGACAUGUAAAGAUUCUUUGCUAAGGACACACAUGUAUUGGUCCACCUUACAUUGUGUAGUUGAGCUGCAUCUGUUGGGACUCCAUAGAGAGAAACUCAUCAAACAAACAGACAAAAAACUUUUUGUGUUAUACUGCAGCUUCUUGCUACUUCUGCAGAAUGGGGCCCGGAUUGACAAAGUGAUAUCAGCUGAGACAGACUCACUUGGAGUUUUACUAAAAGACUUACAUGCUGAGUCAAGACUUGUGGUGAGGCAAGACCCAUGAAGGACACAUGAUGUUUGGAGGGAGUAUAAAUAGGACUCAACAGACUGUGAGAAUGGCUUAUUUAUAGAGCUAGCUGUGCGAUGCUUCUUGGUCUUACAUCUUUGCUGAUCUUUGCCUUAUUGAUCACAGACCCUGGAAAGUCCAGAGACUGGACAGACAACACACAACCGGAUAAACACAGACUGGGCAAGCUUUUUUCAAACUAACCAUUUUUUUCCUUGGAGUUCCAAAACAGGAAUUCUUUAUCCCAAUUCAACAGGAAGCAAAUAUAUAUAAGACCAUUGUCCCAAUCCCUUAAGUUGGGUUAGGUAGUUUUGGUUGCUUGAUGUGUUAUAAUUGUUAUUAUCUAAGGUGGAAGGUUGCUAUUGGUUAUGAUCAGGGAUUGAUAAAAAUUUAAAGCCAUUUUGUUUAACUACUGUAUAUUAAUAGAAAUUUAAGGUUUUUGUUUAGUUAUUGUAUAUUUAUAGAAAAAUAAAGUUGUUUUGUUUGAAUUAUUGUAUAUUAAUAUAAAUUUAAAGUUUUGUGUAAUUAUUGUAUAUUGAUAGGAAUCUAAGGUUAUUUUGUUGGACUACUGUUG
rnacentral:lncRNA from 1 species